GAUGAACGCUGGCGGCGUGCCUAACACAUGCAAGUCGAGCGAACCCUUCGGGGUGAGCGGCGGACGGGUGAGUAACGCGUGGGUAACCUGCCCUGUACACACGGAUAACAUACCGAAAGGUAUGCUAAUACGAGAUAAUAUAUUUUAAUCGCAUGGUUAAGAUAUCAAAGCUCCGGCGGUACAGGAUGGACCCGCGUCUGAUUAGCUAGUUGGUGAGGUAAUGGCUCACCAAGGCGACGAUCAGUAGCCGACCUGAGAGGGUGAUCGGCCACACUGGACCUGAGAAACGGUCCAGACUCCUACGGGAGGCAGGAGGGGGGAAUAAUGCACAAUGGGCGAAAGCCUUAUGAAGCAACGCCGCGUGAGCGAUGAAGGCCUUCGGGUCGUAAAGCUCUGUCCUCAAGGAAGAUAAUGACGGUACUUGAGGAGGAAGCCCCGGCUAACUACGUGCCAGCAGCCGCCGUAA
rnacentral:rRNA from 1 species